rnacentral:tRNA from 1 species
AAGAAGUUAGUUAAAAUUAAAAUAUGGAUUUGUCAAACCCAAGAUGCUUAAGCAUUUCUUU